GAAGGGAGCUCAAAAUUCCAUGUUUAUAUAUUUGAUAGAAGUGCUACAGAGGUAGAAUAACAAAGCCUGAGAUAGAAGAAACUGAUUAUGAAGAAGAAGAUGAUGAUAACUCUGUUAAAAUCUUGGAUGGUUUUUGACCCUGCCCAAGAAAAGCAAGGGAGAAAUCUCCAUUGCCAUGUCCUCAGCCGCACAAAAAAAUGAGAAGAUGUGGUAAAGCAGAAUAUGCAACAUCAACUUUAGACCAACAAGGACUCAAACUUCUGAAAUGAUGUUUGAGAACUCACUGAGAAACAAGGCCUCAGAUUGCUCCAAAUCAGAAAUGAAAAGGGAAGAUGAAUCAGAUGAUGAUUGUGUUGAAACUUUGGACAAGUUUCCCCCCCCUGCCCAAAAUCAGGGGACCAAUCUCCAUUAGCACCACCAGAUGCCAAAGAUGGUGUUGGGAGGAUGCAUACAUCAACUACACAAGUGGAAAAGCUAUAGCUCUUCAAAGAGCUAUUGCUUUUGAAUCUGCAAGCCCUUCUUUCACUAUUGUAAUGCAUCCAUCGUACCUCCACAAAGGUCUUUUGACUGCCAGUAGGGUUUGGUAAGAGACAUCUUAUGAAGCAGCCUGCUGGUAAUGUCAUCCUUAAGCUGUUGGACGGAGGAACUUGGUCUUUUAAGUUCACAUAUUCAAAACCGAAGGCUCAAUUCCAGCAAGGUUGGAGGGCAUUUGUCAGGGGCAAUAAUUCGAGUGACGAUUAUGGUCUUUUCAUUUCUGAUUUGGAGCAAUCUGAAGCCUUGGUUCUCAGUGAGUUCUCAAACAUCAUUUCAGAAGUUUGACUCCUUGUUGGUGUAAAGUUGAUGUUCCAUUCUGCUUUACCACAAGGUCUCAUUUUCUUGUGCGGCUGAGGACAUGGCAAUGGAGAUUUCUCCCUUGCUUUUCUUGGGCAGGGUUAAAAACCACCCAAGAUUCAAUAGACUUAUCAU